CUUCGUCUCAAAAAAAAAAAAAAGAUUUAUUACUUGUUUCUUUGUUUUUGUUUCUUUCCCUUCUUUUCACAGGUGUUGAGAUUUAUUACUUGUCUUAAUGUUGCUGUACUGUAAGUAGGGGACCUUAUUCUGCAUUGAUACAACAAUGACAUUUUUUUCUUCCCCUUCUCCUGUGAAACACAGGUUUCCAAGGUGCUAUUGGGAGCUCAUGCACUCUUGGCCAACGGGUCUGUGAUGUCACGGGUAGGGACAGCACAGUUAGCCCUGGUGGCUCGAGCCCAUAACGUACCAGUGCUGGUUUGCUGUGAAACAUACAAGUUCUGUGAGCGUGUGCAGACUGAUGCCUUUGUCUCUAAUGAGCUAGAUGACCCUGAUGAUCUGCAGUGUAAGCGGGGAGAACAUGUCGCGCUGGCUAACUGGCAGAACCACGCAUCCCUACGGUUGUUGAAUCUAGUCUAUGAUGUGACUCCCCCAGAGCUUGUGGAUCUGGUGAUCACGGAGCUGGGGAUGAUCCCUUGCAGUUCUGUACCUGUUGUUCUACGAGUCAAGAGCAGUGACCAGUGAAGGGGGAAACACAGGGUUAAUAAAUGCCAUACUCCCUACCCU
rnacentral:sRNA from 1 species